rnacentral:other from 1 species
AAUUUCCUGAGAUGUACGACACUCCUGUUAUUUUGAACCUACACCAUAUACAUGGGAAUCCUAAUCUAUAAGUGGAUGUCAGGCCGCCUUUUGAGCGGAAGGUAGAGACUUAUAUGCGGAAUCCCACCUAGCUCUGCUAGGAAUCAAAAUGCAGGAACCGGCAUUUUGGGGUUUUA